rnacentral:rRNA from 1 species
AUUGAACGCUGGCGGCAGGCCUAACACAUGCAAGUCGAGCGGGGUCUUCGGACCUAGCGGCGGACGGGUGAGUAAUGCGUAGGAAGCUACCCGAUAGAGGGGGAUACCAGUUGGAAACGACUGUUAAUACCGCAUAAUGUCUACGGACCAAAGUGUGGGACCUUCGGGCCACAUGCUAUCGGAUGCGCCUACGUGGGAUUAGCUAGUUGGUGAGGUAAUGGCUCACCAAGGCGACGAUCCCUAGCUGGUUUGAGAGGAUGAUCAGCCACACUGGAACUGAGACACGGUCCAGCCUCCUCCGGGCGGCAGCAGUGGGGAAUAUUGGACAAUGGGCGCAAGCCUGAUCCAGCCAUGCAGCGUGUGUGAAGAAGGCCUUCGGGUUGUAAAGCACUUUCAGUAAGGAGGAAGAGUUGAGUGUUAAUAGUACUCAGCUUUGACGUUACUUACAGAAGAAGCACCGGCUAACUCUGUGCCAGCCACCGCCGUAACAC